GAAACAGAGAUGAGUACCACCCCUAGAAUCGGGAACGACUAGCACAUAGAUACCCCAUUGUUCAAAUGCUGAAAUUGGAAAUACAGCUUUGCUGAGAUUAAUUCUAGUUUGUCUAGAGAAGAAGAUACUGGAUCUCUUGAGAUCCCAACCACGGUGUUUCUGGAUGAGGAAAAAGGAGUUCUUGUUAUGGGCUUUAAUUGCAGGAAGAGGGAGUUUUUAUUUGUUCUCCAGUUCCUUGGCAGACAUCAUUGGAA